rnacentral:rRNA from 1 species
UCAGUUCGGAUUGGAGCUGNAACCCGACUCCAUGAAGCUGGAUUCGCUAGUAAUCGCGCAUCAGCCACGGCGCGGUGAAUACGUUCCCGGGCCUUGUACACACCGCCCGUCAAGCCAUGGAAGCCGGGAGUGCCUGAAGUGCGUGAGCGCAAGCAGCGCCCUAAGGUAAAACCGGUGACUGGGGCUAAGUCGUAACAAGGUAUC